UCAGCACAUUGCUAGAGCGUGGUGUUGAGGCCACCGGUGGCCGAUGGACUUACAAGUGGAGGUAGUGCGCCAAGUGAGGGGCAAGUUUUCCACUCACACCACAAGGAUCCCUGGCCCAGUGCGUGGAGCUGGACAGCAAUCCUUGCUGUAAGU